AUUGAACGCUGGCGGCAGGCCUAACACAUGCAAGUCGAGCGGAUGAAGGGAGCUUGCUCCUGGAUUCAGCGGCGGACGGGUGAGUAAUGCCUAGGAAUCUGCCUGGUAGUGGGGGAUAACGUCCGGAAACGGGCGCUAAUACCGCAUACGUCCUGAGGGAGAAAGUGGGGGAUCUUCGGACCUCACGCUAUCAGAUGAGCCUAGGUCGGAUUAGCUAGUUGGUGGGGUAAAGGCAUACCAAGGCGACGAUCCGUAACUGGUCUGAGAGGAUGAUCAGUCACACUGGAACUGAGACACGGUCCAGACUCCUACGGGAGGCAGCAGUGGGGAAUAUUGGACAAUGGGCGAAAGCCUGAUCCAGCCAUGCCGCGUGUGUGAAGAAGGUCUUCGGAUUGUAAAGCACUUUAAGUUGGGAAGAAGGGCAGUAAGUUAAUACCUUGCUGUUUUGACGUUACCAAAAGAAUAAGCACCGGCUAACUUCGUG
rnacentral:rRNA from 1 species